ACCAACGAUCAACCAGUUUACAGGAAUAGCUCAAAGGUGCAUCUCCUGAACCACGAACUGGCAAGUAUAUAUAUAGCUGGAGCACAACACAAUGUUACAUUGUCUGAGAAUUUGUGGCCCAACAGACAGGAACGUCAGGAGGUGUAGGAUGACUGCACUGUAAUUCCUACAGCAAUGCAUGUAGACAAUGACAUGGUCUGUCAACAAAUUACAGUACAAACAGUCAAAGCGUAAAUGUGAAUCGUGUCCAGUCUCUUGCAAUCAAUCUCCCACAUACACUAAGGUGUAACAUACAAUUUACAAUAAUUGUCUUCAAAACUUUAGCCAUGGUUUACAUCAGAACAUCCCUCCAGAGUACACUGUUAUAUUGACAACAUGACUAAGCAAUUUGACUGUCUUAUCCGUACACAAUGACGCAAGGACUUGUCAUUCUGAUGGCACUGACAUGUUCAUUGACACAGAUAUUUACUUUUGAGAAACUAACUAAGGAUUUUGAGCAAGAGACUUGCUUUUGCAUGAAAUCCAUGGUGUUUUGCUAUUUGUACGAAUUGUUUUGAGAAAUGCACUUACUGUUUUGCAAAUUUCAAUUCUGAUCUGAGAAAUGUACCAAAAAGACUGAGAAAAACUGUAAGAAA